GGGUUGUGAGGUUAAGUGACUAAGCGUACACGGUGGAUGCCUAGGCAGUCAGAGGCGAUGAAGGGCGUGCUAAUCUGCGAAAAGCGUCGGUAAGGUGAUAUGAACCGUUAUAACCGGCGAUACCCGAAUGGGGAAACCCAGUGUGUUUCGACACACUAUCAUGUCAUGAAUACAUAGUGGCAUGAGGCGAACCGGGGGAACUGAAACAUCUAAGUACCCCGAGGAAAAGAAAUCAACCGAGAUUCCCCCAGUAGCGGCGAGCGAACGGGGAGGAGCCCAGAACCUGAAUCGGCUUGUGUGUUAGUGGAAGCGUCUGGAAAGUCGCGCAGCAAAGGGUGAUAGCCCCGUACACUAAAAUGCACAGGUCGUGAGUUCGAUGAGUAGGGCGGGACACGUGACAUCCUGUCUGAAUAUGGGGGGACCAUCCUCCAAGGCUAAAUACUCCUGACUGACCGAUAGUGAACCAGUACCGUGAGGGAAAGGCGAAAAGAACCCCGGCGAGGGGAGUGAAAUAGAACCUGAAACCGUGUACGUACAAGCAGUGGGAGCACCUUCGUGGUGUGACUGCGUACCUUUUGUAUAAUGGGUCAGCGACUUAUAUUUUGUAGCAAGGUUAACCGUAUAGGGGAGCCGUAGGGAAACCGAGUCUUAACUGGGCGACUAGUUGCAAGGUAUAGACCCGAAACCCGGUGAUCUAGCCAUGGGCAGGUUGAAGGUUGGGUAACACUAACUGGAGGACCGAACCGACUAAUGUUGAAAAAUUAGCGGAUGACUUGUGGCUGGGGGUGAAAGGCCAAUCAAACCGGGAGAUAGCUGGUUCUCCCCGAAAGCUAUUUAGGUAGCGCCUCGUGAACUCAUCUUCGGGGGUAGAGCACUGUUUCGGCUAGGGGGCCAUCCCGGCUUACCAAACCGAUGCAAACUCCGAAUACCGAAGAAUGUUAUCACGGGAGACACACGGCGGGUGCUAACGUCCGUCGUGAAGAGGGAAACAACCCAGACCGCCAGCUAAGGUCCCAAAGUCAUGGUUAAGUGGGAAACGAUGUGGGAAGGCAUAGACAGCCAGGAUGUUGGCUUAGAAGCAGCCAUCAUUUAAAGAAAGCGUAAUAGCUCACUGGUCGAGUCGGCCUGCGCGGAAGAUGUAACGGGGCUAAACCAUGCACCGAAGCUGCGGCAGCGACGCUUAGGCGUUGUUGGGUAGGGGAGCGUUCUGUAAGCCGUUGAAGGUGGCCUGUGAGGGUUGCUGGAGGUAUCAGAAGUGCGAAUGCUGACAUAAGUAACGAUAAAGCGGGUGAAAAGCCCGCUCGCCGGAAGACCAAGGGUUCCUGUCCAACGUUAAUCGGGGCAGGGUGAGUCGACCCCUAAGGCGAGGCUGAAAAGCGUAGUCGAUGGGAAACAGGUUAAUAUUCCUGUACUUGGUGUUACUGCGAAGGGGGGACGGAGAAGGCUAGGCUAGCCGGGCGACGGUUGUCCCGGUUUAAGCGUGUAGGGGGUGUGACCUGGUAAAUCCGGUUGCAUACUAACCCUGAGGCGUGAUGACGAUGCACUACGGUGCAGAAGUAGUUGAUGCCCUGCUUCCAGGAAAAUCCUCUAAGCUCCAGGUAACAUUAAAUCGUACCCCAAACCGACACAGGUGGUCAGGUAGAGAAUACCAAGGCGCUUGAGAGAACUCGGGUGAAGGAACUAGGCAAAAUGGUGCCGUAACUUCGGGAGAAGGCACGCUGGCAUGUAGGUGAAGUCCCUCGCGGAUGGAGCUGAAGCCAGUCGAAGAUACCAGCUGGCUGCAACUGUUUAAUAAAAACACAGCACUGUGCAAACACGAAAGUGGACGUAUACGGUGUGACGCCUGCCCGGUGCUGGAAGGUUAAUUGAUGGGGUCAGCCGCAAGGCGAAGCUCUUGAUAAGCCCCGGUAAACGGCGGCCGUAACUAUAACGGUCCUAAGGUAGCGAAAUUCCUUGUCGGGUAAGUUCCGACCUGCACGAAUGGCGUAAUGAUGGCCAGGCUGUCUCCACCCGAGACUCAGUGAAAUUGAACUCGCUGUGAAGAUGCAGUGUACCCGCGGCAAGACGGAAAGACCCCGUGAACCUUUACUAUAGCUUGACACUGAACAUUGAGCCUUGAUGUGUAGGAUAGGUGGGAGGCUUUGAAGCGUGGACGCCAGUCUGCGUGGAGCCAUCCUUGAAAUACCACCCUUUAAUGUUUGAUGUUCUAACUCGGCCCCGUAAUCCGGGGUGAGGACAGUGUCUGGUGGGUAGUUUGACUGGGGCGGUCUCCUCCCAAAGAGUAACGGAGGAGCACGAAGGUUAGCUAAUCACGGUCGGACAUCGUGAGGUUAGUGCAAAGGCAUAAGCUAGCUUGACUGCGAGAGUGACGGCUCGAGCAGGUACGAAAGUAGGUCUUAGUGAUCCGGUGGUUCUGAAUGGAAGGGCCAUCGCUCAACGGAUAAAAGGUACUCCGGGGAUAACAGGCUGAUACCGCCCAAGAGUUCAUAUCGACGGCGGUGUUUGGCACCUCGAUGUCGGCUCAUCACAUCCUGGGGCUGAAGUAGGUCCCAAGGGUAUGGCUGUUCGCCAUUUAAAGUGGUACGCGAGCUGGGUUUAGAACGUCGUGAGACAGUUCGGUCCCUAUCUGCCGUGGGCGUUGGAAGAUUGAGAGGGGUUGCUCCUAGUACGAGAGGACCGGAGUGAACGCACCACUGGUGUUCGGGUUGUCAUGCCAAUGGCAUUGCCCGGUAGCUAAGUGCGGAAAAGAUAAGCGCUGAAAGCAUCUAAGCGCGAAACUUGCCUCAAGAUGAGUCUUCCCUGGGCCUUCAAGGCCCCUGAAGGAACGUUUAAGACUAAGACGUUGAUAGGCUGGGUGUGUAAGUGCAGCGAUGCAUUGAGCUAACCAGUACUAAUGAUCCGUGAGGCUUAACCUUACAACACCGAAGGUGUUU
rnacentral:rRNA from 1 species